rnacentral:lncRNA from 1 species
CACAACAGCACUCCACACACAAUUACACAACAAUGGCGUCCGAACAACAACGCCGGCGAUCACCACCUACCAUCCUCGCCGCCAUCCUUCUUCUCUCCUUCUUGGCGACGGCCAACCUCGCCGGCGCCAUCGAUCCAGCCGGAAGGAGACGGAACGUGGUCGUCUUCUGGGGAGGCAACAAGAACGAAGGCAGCCUCCGUUCAGUCUGCGACAGUGGACUCUACAACAUCGUCAUCAUCUCCUUCUACAGCCUCUUCGGCCAUGGCCGCUACUGGGACGACCUCUCCGGCCACGACCUCCGCCACAUCGGCGCCGACAUCACCCACUGCCAUUUCAAGGCCGUCUACGUCCUCCUCUCCAUCGGCGGCGGCGAUGGAAAAGACUACUCCCUACCUUCCUCCAAAUCCGCCGCCGACGUCGCCGACAACCUCUACAACUCCUUCCUCGGCGGCAGCCGCCCGGGAGUCUACCACCCAUUCGGCGAUGACGUCACAGUCGUCGGCAUUGACUUCUUCAUUGACC